rnacentral:rRNA from 1 species
ACCACCCUCCCCGGCGCGCCGCCGCCACACCCCCCUCCCCCAGCGUGCCGCCUCCACAACCUCCCUCCCCAGCGCGCGCCGUCCGGCCCUCUUCCCCACUGCGUGCAGGCAGUUCAACGUGCGACCACAGGCCGUUCAAUGUCUCCGUCGUGGACACGCCCCUCUACCUACUUCUGGUUGCCUCUCAUCCCGGUGUGGCCAAGGCGUUGGGUUCGCCGCAGCUGCGACCAGCAGUCCAACCCGGCCGCCCCAGUCCGUUCACUCGUCGCAGCUCCCAGGUCCCUGCCCACCCCCCUUCUUUGUUCUUCACUGCAUAAGCUUUUGCUGAGUGCAUGCCAUGUGUUUGCUAAAAUGUCUCAGUGCACUCGCCUACUAGUUUUGAUAUGUUCAUGUUCGUUUGUAGCUAAUGUCAAAUCUGGUUUUGCUGGGGACAAAGAAGUGAGCAAAAGGAGAAAUUGAUCAAUUGCAAAUUGUGCAGCGGUGGUUUUCCUAUGCACAUGUUGACACAACGUAUCAUCAAAAUGGGUGGCGGAGAACCAGUAAGUGCUACUACUGGUGUACGCCAAGUUCAAGGAUUUUCCCAUGCUCGAGCAUCCACUGGCUCCGACCUUCACCCGUUUCCGCACGCCUGGGAUCCACAACCUCCGACCUCACACGUGGACCCCGGCUGGCUUCUCUGUCCCGAGUGUCGCUGCCGGCCUCCCUGCAGCAUGGCUUCGGUUCCCUCCUACGGAUGCGUCUGCGCCAACCAUCUGAUGCAUCAAAAAGCCCGAUUCACAAAUUCAUCUUCUAUAUGCUUUUCAGUUCAUCGACUUCCCAUUGGAGGUUUGAAGAUUAUCGUGGAGCAAGUUCAAGAGAUCAGUUUCGUGAAAAUAAAUGUGAUCUUUUGGUCAGGAUUUUGCAUGAUCCAUAGCCAUCGGUGGCAACAGGGAGUAGUUCGAGGCCUCCUGCGUGAGUCGUCCAUCGUCUUCUAUGCGUGAGCUUGUUGUCUCUACACAUCUAGCAUUAGAGUAUCUCCUCCCCUUGCCGCACACACAUGCCGGGCGGUCGAGCUAGUGUUGUUUGUGAUAUUGGUCGUGACUCUUGCGUUCUCAUUGGACAAAGAAUUUGUUCUGUAACUAUGUAUUUGCAGGACCUUUAGCAAAUAUUGUUGUGUUCUGAGUAUUCUGAUGUUGGCCAAAAUGGUGAGCAUUUAAACAUCAGCCCGAAUUAAUAAAACCGAUAAGUUCUACUUUAAAUAAAUGGGUGAACCUAGAUGCAACAAAGCUCUGCCAUUAGCCGUGGGGAUUAUCAGUUCAUGUGUAUUGUGUUCUUUUUG